UACGUAGGGUGCAAGCGUUGCCCGGAUUUAUUGGGCGUAAAGGGCGCGUAGGCGGACGGUCAAGUCGGGGGUGAAAUCUUUCAGCUUAACUGGAAACGUGCCUCCGAUACUGGCCGUCUCGAGGGAGGCAGGGGCAUGCGGAACUUCCGGUGGAGCGGUGAAAUGCGUAGAUAUCGGAAGGAACGCCGGUGGCGAAAGCGGCGUGCUGGACCUCUUCUGACGCUGAGGCGCGAAAGCUAGGGGAGCGAACGGG
rnacentral:rRNA from 1 species